AUUAAAUUCUUUUUAUCAUCUCUCAAAUAAUUUCAGUUCCUACUUCUUAGUCAAGUUCAUGUCAAUGUCCCACAACUGAUGUUGAUGAAACAUUGGCAUAUGCGACAUAAGUGAAGCCAUAAAAUUUUCAACUCUGCUAAAAACAUAAUAUGGACCCGAAGGAAAACUCAGCCAAGCAAUCAAAAUCGAUCCCACCAUUGCCGAGGGAUUCCAGAGGCUCACUUGAAGUGUUCAAUCCAUCAACUUUCUCGACCCGACCCAUUAACCCGUCGCAAUCCCCUUGGCAAAACUUGGGAGAGCCAGGUGGUAGCCACGAAAAAGCUGACCGUUUCCAGCUAGUAUCAGAGUCGGCGAGCCACCACCGCUUGCUCCAUCUCCACCGCCACCAUCACAACUUUUUCAUGAGACCACCGAGGAUAAUGACCGAAACCACGGCGUAGCGGCCAGUCCGAAGCCUUCGGAGGAAGCUGGAGAGGCUGCGAAGAGAGCUGCAGAAUGGGGACUAGUACUGAAAACCGAUAAUGAAACUGGGAAACCACGCGGAGUGGUUGCUAGAAAUUCGGGUGGGGAUGACCCGAAUAUCAAAAUGGAUACUCGUAGGAACUCUAAUACUUCCGUUCGGAGCUCGGACGAAUUUUCCGAUAACGAAUUCAUCUAGGAUAGGGUUCCCAAGAGUAUCCCAAGGCUUAAAGGAAGCAUUGUCAACGUUUCAACAGACAUUCGUUGUUUCGGAUGCUACCAAACCCGAUUACCGAUUUUGUGUGCAAGGGCCGGAUUCUUCAGGAUGACCGGAUACACUUCUAGUGAGGUCGUGGGCAGGAACUGUCGGUUUUUUACAGGGAGCGGGUACGGAUCCGGAAGAUAUAGUGAAGAUUAGGGAGGCAUUACAGGCAGGGAAAAAUUAUUGUGGGAGAUUGUUGAAUUACAAGAAAGAUGGGACUCCCUUUUGGAAUCUUCUUACGAUUGCACCCAUUAAGGACGAGAAUGGAAAAGUCUUGAAAUUUAUUGGAAUGCAAGUGGAGGUAAGCAAGCAUACAGAAGGGGCCAAG